UACGGGGGGUGCAAACGUUGCUCGGAAUCAUUGGGCGUAAAGCGCACGUAGGCGGCUUCGUUAAGUCGGAUGUGAAAGCCCUGGGCUUAACCCAGGAAGUGCAUACGAAACUGGCGAGCUUGAAUAUGGAAGAGGGUCGCGGAAUUCCCGGUGUAGAGGUGAAAUUCGAUAGAUAUCGGGAGGAACACCAGUGGCGAAGGGCGGCGACCUGGGCCAAU
rnacentral:rRNA from 1 species